rnacentral:rRNA from 1 species
UACGUAGGGGGCAAGCGUUGUCCGGAUUUAUUGGGCGUAAAGAGCGUGUAGGCGGCCAUACAGGUCAGCUGUGAAAACUCGAGGCUCAACCUCGAGACGUCGGUUGAAACCGUAUGGCUAGAGUCCGGAAGAGGAGAGUGGAAUUCCCGGUGUAGCGGUGAAAUGCGCAGAUAUCAGGAGGAACACCGAUGGCGAAGGCAGCUCGCUGGGACGGUACUGACGCUGAGGAGCGAAAGCCAGGGGAGGCAAACGGG